rnacentral:lncRNA from 1 species
CCCUGGCCCCAAGUCCUCAGUCCUCACUUUUCUCCCGACGAUUCCCAUUCCCAAAUCCCUAACCAGUUUAGGGUUUUUUUCCAUCCGCCUCGGCGUGCGUAGCCGCCUCGCCAUGCUGGUCCACAAGUUGUCUAAGGUAAACUGUCGACAUCCCCUCCCCUCACAGCCUCAACUUCAAUGGCCUAUUUGCCUCUAUUUCCGACACCACCAUUUGCCUCAUCAUCAGUCAACCAUUGGCAGUCACCUCAUCUCCUCUCCUCUUUCCCCAGACCCCUCCCUGAGGCCAUUGCUCACUGUCAUUAACAACCAUCUCCUCUUUUGAGGCCGCCGCUCGCUGCCAUCGAGAGCCCCUUCCCUCCCCUCUUUGAGGUUGCCGCUUGCUACCACCAACAGCUCCUCCAUUUCCUCUCUGAUUUUGGUUGCUUACUGCAAGUUGUACCAGCUGAUUUGGUGAAAUAUGCGUGAAAAGUUUCCUCCUCUUGUUGCUGAUCAGGUGAUACAAUCCUUCCACAGUCACAAUGCAUUUAAGGAACAUAAAAUCUAUGCAUGAGAUUUAACUUUGAAGUGCAAAGCUUGUAUUGAGUUUGCGCUGAAGUUGAUUUGAUUGUUCAAAAGUGAAAGUAUGCUUAAUUAAUGUUUAAGAACCUCACUGUGCUCUAGAUAUUAGUUUUAAUUUUUCCUUUCUGUAUGAUUUGAUCACUUUCGAUCUAAGAAUACCUAUAGUUUGCUGCAUGAGAUUUGUAAACAUACUAGCAUUAUUUAGCAUAGGCAUGUUAUCUACUCUUUUGCACGGCAAAAACGGAGAUACCAGCCAUCCUUUCAUGUCAUAAUAUGUAUCUGCUACUUGCAGUAUUGGCCAAAAUGUAUAUAACAAGAUACAAGAGGCCUUUAUUAAGUGAUCAUAGCACAACAUAUAAUUGGAGCCGGAUUCAUAAACAUUUAUGAUUCUCUUUUUUAUUGUACUUCGUCCAUAGUAAUAAACUGGCUGCGAUUGACAAGUCAGGAAGCUUUAUUUCUUUUUCAGUGGCACUCUCCAGAAUAUGACUGAAAGAAUGUGGAAUCCAAUAUUAUGUUUCAUAGUUUUAUAAUAUUAUAAUUUUGGUUUUACUCUACAGAUCUUAUGGAUGCACAAUAACGAAAAAAGCUUGAAAAAGAUAGUGAAUAACUGAACAUAAUAAUCCUUUAAUUAUUUAAAUCAUUUACAUUAUGAAAAAUAGUCAAGCUAUUCUUAAUUUUAUAUGAAAGUUUAAUUGCUCUUCCUUAGAAAUUAGAAUACCGUGCUUCUUGUCUUAUUUUUAUUAUAUUUUUAUUGAUUAAUGAGUAGGCCAAGAUUCUAGUUCGAAUAUUCAAAUUUGAGUAUGGUUUGAUUGAUAUUUGAACUGAAUCAAAUCGAUCUCAAGUAUUAUAUCUUUUUCACUGAGUCGAGCUCGAGCUCUCAAAUCGAAAUUUGAGUCCGAAUCGAGUUCAAGCUUGUACAUAUUCGGCUCGAUCCAUUUGCACCCCUAUACAGAACCACUAACUAAAGUGGGGGAGUAAUUUUUGAUAUAUUUCAACUAUUGCAUUUUCCUAUCACUGGAGUUGUAUAUGAUUCUUAUAGGCCAAGCUAGACCGGGUAUCAACUCUAAUAACCUUCCCCCACAAACUAUAAUUAUAUUAAGAGUUCGUUUGAUUAGGGAUAAUUUAAUAUAAAAAAAUAAAUUUUAUAUCAGAUUACUAUGUUUAGUAUGAAAAAUGAAAGAGAGAGAUGGUAAAAAAACUGAUGGAUCCAUAUUUAUUUUUUAGAUAGAUUGAGAAGGUAAAACAAAUGUCAUGGAAGGUUGGUAUUUGAUAAAUUUUUUAAUGGUGAUAAUCCAUAUUUAAUAAAAAUAUCUCCAAUUUAGCUGCAUAUAUAAUCAUUGAAUUUAUUUUGAUAUCUUUUCAAAUUUAUUUAAUAAAGAGCCUUUACAAAAAAAAAUUAAGAUGGAUAUGGCAUUAUGCAAAGGGUUAUGUGAUUAUAAUCAUUAUAUAAAAAUUAAUUAAAAAUGAUAAUAUUAUCCUCAUAUUAAAAAUUAUUUUAUAUUGAAGAGUAUAUUUAUAAAUUUAAUCAUAUUUCUAUAUAAAUUUAUCUUCAACCAAACAUAGUAAUCUUUUUUCAGUAUCAUUUUUUGAAGUACUUUUUUCACCAACUAAAUAUAGUAAAAAUUAUUUUCAUUCAUAAUUAUUUUUUAGAUAAAUAAUUUUUAAAAAUUGUCAGAUUAUGCCCUAUUUUAAUAUACCCCAACCAAACGGAUCUUAAGAAUUUUGCUAUGGUGCUUCAAAAGAUAUUUUAGUCUUUUUACUGUUUAUAUAUUUUUGAUCAUCUGACUAAACAUAAACCAUUUGGAUUUCAACCUAUUGAAGUGCUAAUGUGCAUGGUUGGUAUAGUAAAUAUUUCAAAAAUUAAGAUUAUUUCAAUAUUAAAUUGAUGAUAAAUUUUAUAAUUAAAUUAAAUUUUUUUUCUCCAAGAACUCCAGGGCCAUCGAAAGGCAGAGAAGGGCCGGGGGGGAUGGAGAGAGGAGAGGUGUGGACAAAGGGUGGUGGAGUUGUGGGCACAAGUAGGGGUGGUUGGGGGGUGGCGUGGAGCUGCAGGUGUUGCCGAGGGGGGGGCACAGACUUCAAGUGGGGGACCAGUGGGCGGGUAGACAAGUCACGGAUGGCAGGAGGGAGGGGAUGUGGAGAAGCCACAGACGGAGGAAGAUGGAGGAGAAACGGAUGGAGGGAGUAGAGGAGUUGCGAGUGGCACUAGAGGAGGGAUGGGUGCGGAGAAGUCGCAGAUAAGAGGCAAAGCUGGGAGGAGAGAAGGAAGAAAGAAAAAAUAAUAUAAAAUAUUAUUUUUUUAAAAAAUAAAAUAUAUAAAAAUAAUAAUAUAUAAGAUUAUAAAAUAUUUUUUAUAAUAAAAUAUUAUAGAAGAGUAUCGCAGUAAAAAUCUUAUAUUAAUUAAAGAAAAAAAUUAUCUAUAGAUCCCUCGAUUGACUUGAACUUAUUUUUAAGUUCCUAAACCUCACAGGUGGAAUAAAAUUUUCCUAAACUGUACAGAGAGUUGUUUUUAGAUCCUUGCAGUCCAAAAAACACACCUUCUACCAUUUAAGUCUAGAAAAAUGAUAAAAAUAUCCUUGAAUGGUUUUGGAGGGAAGGUUAAUGCUACCCGGGAUGUCGUCCUAUCUUCCACUAGAUCCAUCCCAGCCUCGCAUCGGGAGCUCCUCCAAAGCACCCCCCUCCGAUUCUCGACAAAGAUCGGAGCUCGUAGGCUGAUCCGAAAAUCAGAGUAAGUCGUAGAGAGCGGACCAUGCGGGCUCUUCCGGGGAAGGAAAAGUGCCGUCUUUAGCCCCGAAGAAAGGAAGAAGAAGCUCUCGCCGAAGGAGUUGUGCGCCAUCCAAUCCAAAGACCAGCUCAUUCAUCUAGCUGUCUGCCCGGUUAACUCUUCAUUUUUAUUUGUAUGAACUCGAAUUUAUAGCUCCAAUUCUGUGCUGGAGAGAAGAAAGCUUUGGCGGAUGAUUCUGCCUCAUCAGUGUCAGGUCAGCCUCUGUUGUCGAAUCGGUUCUAUAAACACCUCCUUCUCCUAGAAGAAAGGGUAAUAUCUUUCUCCACCCAAAACCCUCGGAAGCGAAAGCUUUCAGUGUAAAUGUGUCUAUCAUUUUUGUAAGGAGUUGGGGCACAUGAACUUCAAUUGUCCUGCCAAAAGAAAGAAAUCAUUCUCACCUUGUUCAUCCCCAACUUAGGGUACUGCUACGCUUGCAGUGACUCUUCUCCGGAUGUUGUCUCUAUUGUCAUUGGGUUGUCCUCCGUACCAUCUCCAUUUGUUCGGUGCAAAAAUAAUCUGGAACUCUUGAAAAAUCCAACAUUGCAAUUGACUCUGACCAUCGACGCGCUAGCUAAUCAUGAGGUGUGGGAUGAAGGUGAUGCAAGAGGUGUUCGAGGCGGCGAAGGGGCAGCUCAAGGUGGUGAAGAGGGUUGAGAUGGGGAUCGACAACAUUGAUCUCCAAGCCACCACCAAACACGGGUGCCUCAUCGUCAACAUGCCCACCGCCAACACCAUCGCGAUAGUGGAACAUGGGAUCACGCUCGUAGCUCCCGCUUGCGCUCCCUUUUUCCUCUUGUUAUUUUUCUUUCCUCUCUCGAUUUUUUUCUCUAUCUUUUUUCUCCUUUUUUAGGUCCUCAUCAUCCUCCUUCGGACUUGCCUCCUUCCCUCUUCGCUCACUGUUGCACUUUUGUUCCCUUCACCACCUUAAAGCCCAAGCUACUCUGACAAAGAAAUCUAUGUUCCAGAAUGUUUUUCUCUUUUUAAUGAAUUAUUUGUUUUUGAGGAAAAAAAUUUGAUUUUUUGCCCUUUUUUUUUGAAAUUUGGUUUUUGAUGUUAGAAGUCAUUUAAGUUUUGAUUUUCUUUUUAAUCUCUUAUUUUUGAUGGGUAAUACCCAGUUUCUUUCAAUAUUUCACUACUGUUCAUCUUUGGUUUAGUUUUUUUUCUCUCCCACAAGUGGAAGAAUUUGGUUAAAGAAUUAAUCUGAUUUUUGUACUAUUAUCUUUUGUUUUUUAUUGUUCAUGCAUUUUUUUCAAACGAUUCAUAUCCUCUUGAAAUUUACUUUUAGUUAUAGAGAAUAUCUUUCGGGUACAAAUUUUCACUUUUAGUUACAUAGUCUUCAAUUUUGAUUACACAGUAUCGUAUGUAGUUACAUAUUAUUCCGUUUUGAUUACACGGCAAUCAUCUGUGGUUACAUAAUUUUUUUUGUGGUUACAGGAUAGUAGUUUGGUCCAAUGACCUAGUUAUGUUUCACAAUAGUAAGUUCAUGAUCUAUUACUCAACUAGAUAUUGAAAGAUGAUGUAAGAUGAUCUAUCAAAAUCAUUUAGGACAAAAAUAAUUGAUGAACAUUUUUAAAUACUUUGAACUAUUAUGCAGAUUCUUGACGCAUUCAUGGAACUCUUUGGACCUAGUGAUAUUACAAGACUACAAGCAAAAUAUGGUGCUAAUCAGUAUGGAGAAGGUGGAGGGGAGACUACUGUUUAUCCAAAUGGAGAAGGUGCGGACGAGACUGUUGCUAAUGGAGAUGGGGCUAGUACUAUGGCGGAUCAAAUUUAAUAUAACUUUUACUUAUAGAUGAAUAAUUGAGAUUAAGUUGUGUAUCUAAAGUUAUAUUAUUGUUCUUCGUUUACUUGAGUAUAAAAAGUGGUUUGAUUAUGGUUUGGUUAAAAAGAGAUUUAUUAAAAAUUGUUUGAUUAUGAUUUGCUUAAAUAGGAGCCAGUUCUCUGGUUACAUAAUUUUUAUAAUUAGUUGCAUAGGUUUAUAUUUAGGUUACACAAAUAUAUACCU